CCCUUAGAUGUUCUGGGCCGCACGCGCGCUACACUGGUGCGUUCAACAAGUUUACAACCUUGAUUGACAAGUCUGGGUAAUCUUUUGAAUGCGCACCGUGCUAGGGAUAGAUUAUUGCAAUUAUUAAUCUUGAACGAGGAAUUCCUAGUAAACGCAAGUCAUCAGCUUGCAUUGAUUACGUCCCUGCCCUUUGUACACACCGCCCGUCGCACCUACUGAUUGAAUGGUCCGGUGAAGCGUUCGGACCGUGGCCUUUGGACGGUUCGCCGUCUGUUGGCUGCGGGAAGUUCGUUAAACCUUAUCAUUUAGAGGAAGGAGAAGUCGUANCA
rnacentral:rRNA from 1 species